rnacentral:lncRNA from 1 species
GAUAAAGUACAUAAAAAAUAUAAGAAAUCUACACAACAGAAAUUUAUAAAAAAGUUUUCUCCCCACUCUAAAAAUAAAAAGAAAAUACCAGUAUGUUAUAAAUGUGAAAAACUUGGCCACUAUAAGCACCAAUGUAAAUUAAAAAAGAAAAUAGAUGCACUACAACUAGAUGAGUCAGUAAAAUCAAAAUUAUAUCAUAUUAUCAAUUAUGAUACAUCCUCUUCAAAUACAGAUUCCAAUGAAUCUUUAAUAGGAAAUAUCCAAGAAGAUAAUUUUAUAUGGACAUAAUCAUCUGAUUCUUCAGAUUCUUCUACUAAUACAGAAUCAUCUCAUCCAAUGCAAG